rnacentral:rRNA from 1 species
CCAAGGCUAAAUACUACCUGAUGACCGAUAGUGAAGCAGUACCGUGAGGGAAAGGUGAAAAGAACCCCGGGAGGGGAGUGAAAUAGAACCUGAAACCGUGUGCCUACAACCGCUCAGAGCCCCUUAUGAGGGUGAUGAGGUGCUUUUUGUAGAACGAGCCAACGAGUUACGGUAUGUAGCAAGGUUAAGUACUUAAGGUACGGAGCCGAAGGGAAACCGAGUCUGAAUAGGGCGACUAGUUGCAUGCCGUAGACCCGAAACCGGGUGACCUAUCCAUGGCCAGGUUGAAGCGAGGGUAAAACCUCGUGGAGGACCGAACCACGUUGCUGUUGAAAAAGCAUGGGAUGAGCUGUGGAUAGCGGAGAAAUUCCAAUCGAACCCGGAGAUAGCUGGUUCUCUCCGAAAUAGCUUUAGGGCUAGCGUCGAGUAUGAGUAGUGGAGGUAGAGCACUGAAUGGGCUAGGGGGCAUAGCGCUUACCGAACCUUAUCAAACUCCGAAUGCCACAUACUUUGAGCUCGGCAGUCAGACUACGAAUGAUAAGAUCCGUGGUCAAAAGGGAAACAGCCCAGAUCGUCAGCUAAGGUCCCAAAGUGUAAGUUAAGUGGGAAAGGAUGUGAGAUUUCUAAGACAACUAGGAUGUUGGCUUAGAAGCAGCCAUUCAUUAAAAGAGUGCGUAAUAGCUCACUAGUCGAGAGAUCUUGCGCCGAAAAUGUAACGGGGCUAAACUUACCA